GCCCGAGUGGCGGAAUUGGUAUACGCGCAGCACUUAAAAUGCUGUGACCUAAACAGUCGUGCCGGUUCGACCCCGGCCUCGGGCA
rnacentral:tRNA from 1 species